CUUUAACAUGAAAGCGAUGAAAAGUCCUUUGAAUAAGGGCACUUGAAUGACUUGGAGCGACUAGUGUAACCGACUCUUUACUUG
rnacentral:ncRNA from 10 species